GACGAACGCUGGCGGCAUGCUUAACACAUGCAAGUCGAACGGAAAGGCCCUGCUUUUGUGGGGUGCUCGAGUGGCGAACGGGUGAGUAACACGUGAGUAACCUGCCCUUGACUUUGGGAUAACUUCAGGAAACUGGGGCUAAUACCGGAUAGGAGCUCCUGCUGCAUGGUGGGGGUUGGAAAGUUUCGGCGGUUGGGGAUGGACUCGCGGCUUAUCAGCUUGUUGGUGGGGUAGUGGCUUACCAAGGCUUUGACGGGUAGCCGGCCUGAGAGGGUGACCGGCCACAUUGGGACUGAGAUACGGCCCAGACUCCUACGGGAGGCAGCAGUGGGGAAUAUUGCACAAUGGGCGGAAGCCUGAUGCAGCAACGCCGCGUGCGGGAUGACGGCCUUCGGGUUGUAAACCGCUUUCGCCUGUGACGAAGCGUGAGUGACGGUAAUGGGUAAAGAAGCACCGGCUAACUACGUGCCAGCAGCCGCGGUGAUACGUAGGGUGCGAGCGUUGUCCGGAUUUAUUGGGCGUAAAGGGCUCGUAGGUGGUUGAUCGCGUCGGAAGUGUAAUCUUGGGGCUUAACCCUGAGCGUGCUUUCGAUACGGGUUGACUUGAGGAAGGUAGGGGAGAAUGGAAUUCCUGGUGGAGCGGUGGAAUGCGCAGAUAUCAGGAGGAACACCAGUGGCGAAGGCGGUUCUCUGGGCCUUUCCUGACGCUGAGGAGCGAAAGCGUGGGGAGCGAACAGGCUUAGAUACCCUGGUAGUCCACGCUGUAAACGGUGGGUACUAGGUGUGGGGUCCAUUCCACGGGUUCCGUGCCGUAGCUAACGCUUUAAGUACCCCGCCUGGGGAGUACGGCCGCAAGGCUAAAACUCAAAGGAAUUGACGGGGCCCCGCACAAGCGGCGGAGCAUGCGGAUUAAUUCGAUGCAACGCGUAGAACCUUACCUGGGUUUGACAUGGAUCGGGAGCGCUCAGAGAUGGGUGUGCCUCUUUUGGGGUCGGUUCACAGGUGGUGCAUGGCUGUCGUCAGCUCGUGUCGUGAGAUGUUGGGUUAAGUCCCGCAACGAGCGCAACCCUUGUUCACUGUUGCCAGCACGUUAUGGUGGGGACUCAGUGGAGACCGCCGGGGUCAACUCGGAGGAAGGUGGGGAUGACGUCAAGUCAUCAUGCCCCUUAUGUCCAGGGCUUCACGCAUGCUACAAUGGCUGGUACAGAGAGUGGCGAGCCUGUGAGGGUGAGCGAAUCUCGGAAAGCCGGUCUCAGUUCGGAUUGGGGUCUGCAACUCGACCUCAUGAAGUCGGAGUCGCUAGUAAUCGCAGAUCAGCAACGCUGCGGUGAAUACGUUCCCGGG
rnacentral:rRNA from 1 species